rnacentral:rRNA from 1 species
GACGAACGCUGGCGGCGUGCUUAACACAUGCAAGUCGAACGAUGAAGCCUAGCUUGCUAGGUGGAUUAGUGGCGAACGGGUGAGUAAUACGUGAGUAACCUACCUUUAACUCUGGGAUAAGCCUGGGAAACUGGGUCUAAUACCGGAUACGACCAAUCUCCGCAUGGGGUGUUGGUGGAAAGCUUUAUGUAGUGGUUAUAGAUGGGCUCACGGCCUAUCAGCUUGUUGGUGAGGUAACGGCUCACCAAGGCGACGACGGGUAGCCGGCCUGAGAGGGUGACCGGCCACACUGGGACUGAGACACGGCCCAGACUCCUACGGGAGGCAGCAGUGGGGAAUAUUGCACAAUGGGCGCAAGCCUGAUGCAGCGACGCCGCGUGAGGGAUGACGGCCUUCGGGUUGUAAACCUCUGUUAGCAGGGAAGAAGAGAAAUUGACGGUACCUGCAGAGAAAGCGCCGGCUAACUACGUG